rnacentral:rRNA from 1 species
UACGAAGGGUGCAGGCGUUACUCGGAAUUACUGGGCGUAAAGCGUGCGUAGGUGGUUUGUUAAGUCUGCUGUGAAAGCCCCGGGCUCAACCUGGGAAUGGCAGUGGAUACUGGCAAGCUAGAGUGCGGUAGAGGGGUGUGGAAUUCCCGGUGUAGCGGUGAAAUGCGUAGAGAUCGGGAGGAACACCAGUGGCGAAGGCGGCACCCUGGACCAGCACUGACACUGAGGCACGAAAGCGUGGGGAGCAAACAGG